rnacentral:rRNA from 1 species
UCCAGACUCCUACGGGAGGCAGCAGUGGGGAAUAUUGGGCAAUGGGCGCAAGCCUGACCCAGCAAUGCCGCGUGAAGGAAGAAGGCUUUCGGGUUGUAAACUUCUUUGACAGGGGAAGAGCAGAAGACGGUACCCUGAAAACAAGCCACGGCUAACUACGUGCCAGCAGCCGCGGUAAUACGUAGGUGGCAAGCGUUGUCCGGAUUUACUGGGUGUAAAGGGCGUGUAGCCGGGAAGGCAAGUCAGAUGUGAAAUCCCGCGGCUCAACCGCGGAACUGCAUUUGAAACUGUGCUUCUUGAGUGCUGGAGAGGCAGACGGAAUUCCUAGUGUAGCGGUGAAAUGCGUAGAUAUUAGGAGGAACACCAGUGGCGAAGGCGGUCUGCUGGACAGUAACUGACGGUGAGGCGCGAAAGCGUGGGGAGCAAACAGGAUUAGAUACCCGUGUAGU